rnacentral:rRNA from 1 species
GUGUCAGCAGCCGCGGUAACACGUAGGCACCAAGCGUUGUCCGGAUUUAUUGGGCGUAAAGAGCUCGUAGGCGGUUCAGUAAGUCGGGUGUGAAAACUCUGGGCUCAACCCAGAGACGCCACCCGAUACUGCUGUGACUUGAGUACGGUAGGGGAGUGGGGAAUUCCUGGUGUAGCGGUGAAAUGCGCAGAUAUCAGGAGGAACACCAGUGGCGAAGGCGCCACUCUGGGCCGUAACUGACGCUGAGGAGCGAAAGCGUGGGUAGCAAACAGGAUUAGAUACCCUAGUAGUCC